rnacentral:lncRNA from 10 species
UCUGGUCCCAAGUCCAUUCAUCUUCAUGCUUUCCGCAAACUCUUGCACAACUGACAAAAUUCCCUCCAUCAUUGUAUGACCCUGCCAAAUGCCAUAUCCAUUCUUUUUUCUCCACAAAGGAGAAAGGUAAGGAGAAGAAAGGGGUACAUUGAGAGGCCUGGCUCCUGCCAAAACUCGGGGUCAGGUGGGCUCCCCACAAGAGGGCUUCCCAGAGGUUUUCCAAUCAUGGUACACUUGCAGAAUCAUAUUUGAAUGGGUGACUGGGGUCAACUGAUGAGGCUGCUCAUAGCUGGAGGCAGCCGCUCAGGGCUUAGCAGCAGACUGAACAUUUCAGAUGCAUUUGGAAUCCAUUCCCUUCGUGCCAGAGCUGGGGAAUGGGACAGCAGGACCCCCGCCACUCUGUGGAAAGGUAGCAUCAGAGGUGACUGCACCAAAGUUGAAUAUAGUUGUAAAGCUGGGAUUGUUCCCUAUUACUGUAUAGAACAAUAUGACAAAUGUCACGUAUUUCAUUACUUAAGAUUACAAACUAUUUUAGUGACUAGGAAGUGAUGCUAAUCUAUAUCUUUUUUCUAUCAAGACAUAAGGUACUAUCUACGAGAUGUGAGUUUUAGUCUUCUUGGUAUCCAACGUGUAAGUUCCAUUCAUAAAUCAUCAUUCACCUACUUAAUGACUCAUAGCAGUAGAACAUUUUAUCAAGAGUUGACCUCUGGAAAAUCAUUUUACACCACUGUACACAUUGAUGAGAAAGCUAUAGCGUACUGAAGAUUUAGAACAUUCUGAGUGUAGUAAGACGAGUGUUUUUUCUCCCUUUGACUGGCAGUGAUAAUGUUCACGUUAUCAGGUAUUUGAAGGACUAUUUGGGUCAACUAAUUAUUUGAUCCCUACCUACUACAAAUCUCCUUUUCAAGGGAUAUGGAUUAUGGAUUGGAGAUUUCCACUUGGUAUCAAUGAUGCUGAAAUAACUAGGGUUUUUUUUUUCUUUUUUCCCUAGUAACUUCAUUUACCAUUGAAUUUUGUGGGAUUUCAGUUUAUUU